rnacentral:lncRNA from 1 species
CGGACGGUGAUUCUUUACCCAGUGUGGCAGAAAAUGCUCAACUUACAACUUUCCCAGCCCAAACAGCGCCAUCAUCUGGGAUUUCAUUCAGACCUGAAAGUGUGUGGCCACCUGUCCUGAAGGACUGAGAUGAACUCAUCCUGAGUCCCUCCCACAUGAAGCCAGCUUUGGUCCCAGGUCUGAAAGCAUACAGGCUUUCAGGCUUUGGUUUGCAUACUACAGGCUGUUGUUAGUGGCUGCCCAGCAGUCUCUCAGUUUGAGUUUUGAGUAACAAGGUAGGUAAGGUGGGCCAUGACAGUGGGCCUUGGUGCUGACCUGUCUACAAAGAAAUGAAGACCCAGAACUGGAAAGCUGGCUCAUCCAUUAAGAGUGCUGCUCCCCCAAGGACCCCCACUCAGUUCCAGCUUCGACCUAUAACUCUAGUUCCAAGGAUUCUGAUUUUCUUCUCUGGCCUCUAUGGGUACUGGGCACCAUGUGUUUCACAUACAUAAAUGCAAGUAAGCAUACAUAUAAAGCAAAAAAUAAAUAAAUCCCUAUAAAAUAUGCUAUUAAAAAUAAGUAGAAACUGUUAUAGUUCAAUAAAGAUUCAUCCAAGC